CUCAGAAAUUGUAAAAGUUAUUUUUUACUGUUUUGAAAAUUCUGAAAUGCGAUUGUUUACAUAAUAUUACAUUUGAUAUACUGUAGUUCACCACACGUCCUGCUGGGAAGAUAAGAAAGUAAUACUUUUGUAGAAAACAUUUUGAGAUAUGCAUGAAACAAACAUCUAGCAAUAAAUGAACAAAUAUUAGGCAAAAACUAAGCAGAAAUAGGAUGAAAAAAAGAUCAAUGUCAUACACAUAUGCAGAAGAGAUAUUCAGAAUAAAGUCUGUGGUUUAAUUAAAUUUGAGUUUAAAUAAUAACAGCAAGUUCAGAAUGAAAUGCUAUAAACAUUGUGGAGAAAAAAUAAACGAAAAGCAGUCUAAAAAUAACCCAAAGUCUGCUAUAAACAGUCAUGCCAUUUUAAUGUCAUUAAAAAAGAUACAUUGGAAUGAAGGCAACAGAUGUGAUUUAAUUGUAAUAAAAAUAUAUAUUUAGGGGGGAGAAAAUAUGUAAACGCUGUCGAAGUUCCUCAUAUCAAAAAAGGCAAUUUUGGUUCUGAACAGUAUCUAAGACUUGUAACUCAUUUGGGUUAGUCGAGUCACGCUGCUGUGGUGGAGGAACAGGGCUCUACACAUUUACAACAUCUGAGGUAGAGGAAACACCAUGGACUCACAAAGCUCUCCACAAUCAUCUGCCAGUCAACACAGACACUACGCCAACAGCAUUAACACUCUUUCAUUCCACUACAUUUUGGUCUUCACUAGAAUAAAUCAAGGCUUUAGGCAAAUGCCCGUCAAUUACAGCAUGACAUUCUCCACAGAAACCAAAAAAUAAAUACAGUGUGAAAACAUAAAACAAAUCCCUUUCUAUUAACGGCUAGAACCUGGCACAGAGAUAAUGAUUAACUGCCUUCACUGACUGAUGGUCACAGUCAAUGAUUAGUCACACUCAUGUCCUCACUUCCACUUAUGCUUCAAAUGAUACCAUACUGUAAAUGUGUGAUGGCCUUUUAUAAGGUGGUGUGUUUUUUGGUCCUUAAAGAGGACGCGAGCAGGUGAUGACUUGUAUUGACCUUGACAGUGUCAUCUACAGAGUAAACUUCAUGUUCUUUAUACAGUCCCCUCCAAAGCUAUUGGAACAGCGAGGCCAAUUGCUUUAUUUUCGCUGUACAAUGAAAACAAUUGGGUUUGA